UACAGAGGUGCCAAGCGUUAGGCGGAAUUACUGGGCGUAAAGCGCGUGUAGGCGGCCCUGUAAGUCUGAUGUGAAAGCGCCCGGCUCAACCGGGCGAGGCCAUUGGAAACUACAAAGCUGGAGGGCAGUAGAGGCAGGCGGAAUUCCGGGUGGAGUGGUGAAAUGCGUAGAGAUCCGGAGGAACACCAGAGGCGAAGGCGGCCUGCUGGGCUGCACCUGACGCUGAGCCGCGAAAGCCAGGGGAGCGAACGGG
rnacentral:rRNA from 1 species